CCUACGGGAGGCAGCAGUGGGGGAUAUUGGACAAUGGGGGGGAACCCUGAUCCAGCGACGCCGCGUGAGUGAAGAAGUAUUUCGGUAUGUAAAGCUCUGUCAGCAGGGAAGAAAGCAAUGACGGUACCUGACCAAGAAGCCCCGGCUAACUACGUGCCAGCAGCCGCGGUAAUACGUAGGGGGCAAGCGUUAUCCGGAAUUACUGGGUGUAAAGGGGGCGUAGACGGCUGUGCAAGUCUGGAGUGAAAGGCGGGGGCCCAACCCCCGGACUGCUCUGGAAACUGUAUGGCUGGAGUGCGGGAGAGGUAAGCGGAAUUCCUAGUGUAGCGGUGAAAUGCGUAGAUAUUAGGAGGAACACCAGUGGCGAAGGCGGCUUACUGGACUGUAACUGACGUUGAGGCUCGAAAGCGUGGGGAGUAAACAGGAUUAGAUACCCUUGUAGUC
rnacentral:rRNA from 1 species